rnacentral:rRNA from 1 species
UACGUAGGGGGCAAGCGUUGUCCGGAUUUAUUGGGCGUAAAGAGCGUGUAGGCGGCUAGAUAGGUCCGUUGUGAAAACUCGAGGCUCAACCUCGAGACGCCGAUGGAAACCCUCUAGCUAGAGUCCGGAAGAGGAGAGUGGAAUUCCCGGUGUAGCGGUGAAAUGCGUAGAGAUCGGGAGGAACACCAGAGGCGAAAGCGGCGACCUAGACAGGCACUGACACUCAACUACGAAAGCGUGGGGAGCAAACAGG